CCUCCGACUGUCCUGUUUCUCGUGGACGGGGAUGUGCAGCUUUCUUGCAACAUUGUGGAGAAUUGCGUAAGCCUAAAGAGACAAAAGGCAUUUUUACUGCAAGCUCAAACUCUCAUGAAGAACCUUCUCUGCAGCACUGAGGCGUAGAGUUGGGGAACCCGGACUCGAACCCAACACCACUGAAGCGCCUGUGCAGUCCUGAUGAGGAACCGAAAGCAGCGAGAACAAAGCGCAGGAAUAAUGUGGUCAGAGAAGAGGAGCUCGAUUAGUGCGCUCAAACACACAACUGCAGUGAUGGAAGUCACACACACACACACACACACACACACUGACAGAUGAUGACUCCGCCUGCAGUGAUGAUUGACAGAUAAUGACUCCGCCCCGCAGUGAUGAUUGACAGAUGAUGACUCCGCCUGCAGUGAUGAUUCACAGAUAAUGACUCCGCCCCGCAGUGAUGAUUGACAGAUGAUAAGGGAAAUGCUUUAUUUUACAGUGUCCUUGUUACACGUUACAUGUACUUACAGUAGUAAUAACAGUAAAUUAUGCAUAAUUAUGUGAAACUAAAUCAAACCCUAACCCUAAACACUGUUAGUUACUGUAAUAUUACUCCGUGUUUAAAUCUAUAAUUACAGUAAGAAGUGCAGCCA